rnacentral:snRNA from 1 species
UCGCUUCCUCAGCAUAUACACUUAAGUUGGGACGAUACAGAGAAGAUUCGGCCCCUGUACAAGGACAACACACAGUCAUGCAAUGUUCCAGAUUCUU